GGCGGUAUGCUUAACACAUGCAAGUCGAACGGUGUCUUCGGACACAGUGGCGGACGGGUGAGUAACGCGUGAGAAUCUGGCUUUAGGUCUGGGACAACCACUGGAAACGGUGGCUAAUACCGGAUGUGCCGAGAGGUGAAAGGUUAACUGCCUGAAGAUGAGCUCGCGUCUGAUUAGCUAGUAGGUAGUGUAAUGGACUACCUAGGCGACGAUCAGUAGCUGGUCUGAGAGGACGAUCAGCCACACUGGGACUGAGACACGGCCCAGACUCCUACGGGAGGCAGCAGUGGGGAAUUUUCCGCAAUGGGCGAAAGCCUGACGGAGCAAUACCGCGUGAGGGAGGAAGGCUCUUGGGUCGUAAACCUCUUUUCUCAGGGAAGAACACAAUGACGGUACCUGAGGAAUAAGCAUCGGCUAACUCCGUGCCAGCAGCCGCGGUAAUACGGAGGAUGCAAGCGUUAUCCGGAAUGAUUGGGCGUAAAGCGUCCGCAGGUGGCUAUGUAAGUCUGCUGUUAAAGAGUCUAGCUCAACUAGAUAAGAGCAGUGGAAACUACAUGGCUAGAGUGCGUUCGGGGCAGAGGGAAUUCCUGGUGUAGCGGUGAAAUGCGUAGAGAUCAGGAAGAACACCGGUGGCGAAGGCGCUCUGCUAGGCCGCAACUGACACUGAGGGACGAAAGCUAGGGGAGCGAAUGGGAUUAGAUAC
rnacentral:rRNA from 1 species